AGGUGCUGAAAUCAACAUUUGUAUACUGAGUUCUGUCGAACGUUAAAUAACUUUAACGAGCUCCAGAAGGCCAUGCACAAGAUAAUAAUCAUGGUCCUUGGUACCUAGAUGGCCUCUUUAUCAAUGGAUAGACAUUUAACAAAAUGUCAUUCUAAAUGUUGACCAAAUGUCAAGUCGUUUGGUUCUGAAAUAAAUUUUUUCUUUGUUCUGCCAAUUUUAAGGGCUUUCACGAAUCCCUCAAAGUGUGUCUUUCCAAAAUAGAAGCCGAAUCUGUCACGACCAUGAACCCAUAAAUAUUUAGUACCAUACGAGUACCUAGAUGGCCUAUAAAUUGUUGCUUAUUCCAUACCUUGGAUACACAUUCUAAAAUCGCACUCUGAACAUUAAAAGUGUUGGGGUUCUGUCGAUUUCAAAGACUUUCACUGAUCCUUAAAGCCACAUCUGCCACGCCCAACGGGGCAAACAUAUAAUCAACAAAUAAUCGCUGAAUUUGGUACCUAGAUGACCUAUAUAUCCUUGGUUAUUCCAUACUAAGGAUAUAGUCCUAGCGAACCUAAAGGACCGAGUUCCUGUAAAAUGAGCAAGAACGUGGUCCAAAAAUAUGCAUGCUUUUAUUUACAGGCACCCCGCCCAACUUACAGCCCCAUCCCCUGAAUGGUUCCUAGUUGACUACCAUAUCCUUGGUUACACCAUGCCAUAGAUAUAGUCCUUGGGAACCUAAAGGAAUUAUCCCUGCAAAAUUUGCAUAAAAAUGGUCCAAAAAGCCCUAGUACAUGAGCUACAAAUGCAGCUGUUGAUUAACAUUCGCCUUUACAGCACUCUUGACAUGAGCCGUUUCUUAACAUUACUCAUUUGAAAUGAGUGACAAUUCUGGCCCUUGCGGGUAUGCAGCAAAAAUUUUUAUUCGAAGAUUUUCGUCGACCUUCUGAGCAUUUCUGUUCGCCUGGUACUUGAGCGGAAUUUUAGUACAAAUUUGGGACCCGGUCCCAGACUAGGGCGCCCCUUUUGGGUAUGCAGCAGAAAAUUUUUGGAGGCUAAAAUUUUUUGUCGACCUUCUGCGCAUUUAUGUUCGCCUGGUAUUUUAGCUGAUUUUUGGAAAAAUCUCGGCAGCCAGCGGCCGCUAAAGCACGCCCCUUACUGGUAUGCAACAGAUUAUUAACAGCCGUUGAUUUUUGAUUUUCUUUCCAUUCUAUAUCCUUUG